CAGAGGUUACUGCUAKCKMGRWUCGACUAAGCCAUGCGAGUUGAAUGUUCUUCGUGAACAUGGCGGACUGCUCAGUAACACGUGGACAACCUACCCUUGGGUCCGGCAUAAUCCUGGGAAACUGGGAAUAAUUCCGGAUAGGUCACCGAUGCUGGAAUGCGCGGUGGCCGAAAGCUCCGGCGCCCGAGGAUGGGUCUGCGGCCUAUCAGGGUUGUAGUGGGUGUAACGUACCUACUAGCCUACGACGGGUACGGGUUGUGAGAGCAAGAGCCCGGAGAUGGAUUCUGAGACACGAAUCCAGGCCCUACGGGGUGCAGCAGGCGCGAAAACUUUACAAUGCGGGAAACCGUGAUAAGGGGAUCUCGAGUGCCAGCAUAUAAUGUUGGCUGUCCAGAUGCCUAAAAAGCAUCUGUUAGCAAGGGCCGGGCAAGACCGGUGCCAGCCGCCGCGGUAACACCGGCGGCCCGAGUGGUAACCGCUAUUAUUGGGUCUAAAGGGUCUGUAGCCGGCCAGGUAAGUCCCUUGGGAAAUCUGGCAGCUCAACUGUCAGGCUGCUAGGGGAUACUGUUUGGCUUGGGACCGGGAGAGGUGAGAGGUACCUUGGGGGUAGGGGUGAAAUCUUGUGAUCCUCGAGGGACCACCAGUGGCGAAGGCGUCUCACCAGAACGGGUCCGACGGUAAGGGACGAAAGCUAGGGGCACGAACCGGAUUAGAUACCCGGGUAGUCCUAGCCGUAAACGAUGCUCGCUAGGUGUCAGUCACGGUGCGACCGUGAUUGGUGCCGUAGGGAAGCCGUGAAGCGAGCCACCUGGGAAGUAUGGCCGCAAGGCUGAAACUUAAAGGAAUUGGCGGGGGAGCACUACAWCSGGURSAGCCUGCGGUUUAAUUG
rnacentral:rRNA from 1 species